CGGGGUGCAGCAGGCGCGAAAACUUUGCAAUACACGAAAGUGUGACAGGGUUAUCCCGAGUGCCGACCGCUGAGGUUGGCUUUUACCCAGUCUAGAAAGCUGGGGGAAUAAGGAGAGGGCAAGUCUGGUGUCAGCCGCCGCGGUAAUACCAGCUCUCCGAGUGGUGUGGACGUUUAUUGGGCCUAAAGCAUCCGUAGCUGGCUGGACAAGUCCCCUGUUAAACCCACCGAUUUAAUCGUUGGCGUGCGGGGGAUACUGCUCGGCUAGGGGACGAGAGAGGCAGACGGUAUUCCCGGGGUAGGGGUGAAAUCCUAUAAUCCCGAGAAGACCACCAGUGGCGAAGGCUGUCUGCUAGAACGCGCCCGACGGUGAGGGAUGAAAGCUGGGGGAGCGAACCGGAUUAGAUACCCGGGUAGUCCCAGCUGUAAACGAUGCAGACUAGGUGUUUGGACGGCCACGUGCCGUUCUAGUGCCGCAGGGAUGCUGUUAAGUCUGCCGCCUGGGGAGUACGAUCGCAAGAUUGAAACUUAAAGGAAUUGGCGGGGGAGCAC
rnacentral:rRNA from 1 species